rnacentral:misc_RNA from 1 species
UUUCCGUAGGUGAACCUGCGGAAGGAUCAUUACAGUGUUCCCUGCCCUUCGGGGUAGGAUCGCCACCCUUGAUUAUUUAUGAGUGUUGCUUUGGCGGGCCUCGCGGCCUGGCCGCGCCCCGGCUUCGGCGGGGGAGCGCCUGCCAGAGGAUUCUACAAACCUGAUUAUUAGUGUCGUCUGAGUACUAUAUAAUAGUUAAAACUUUCAACAACGGAUCUCUUGGUUCUG